rnacentral:rRNA from 1 species
GACGUAGGGUGCAAGCGUUGUCCGGAAUUAUUGGGCGUAAAGAGCGUGUAGGCGGCCAGAUAGGUCAGCUGUGAAAACUCGAGGCUCAACCUCGAGAUGUCGGCUGAAACCAUCUGGCUAGAGUCCGGAAGAGGAGAAUGGAAUUCCCGGUGUAGCGGUGAAAUGCGCAGAUAUCGGGAAGAACACCCGUGGCGAAGGCGGUUCUCUGGGACGGUACUGACGCUGAGACGCGAAAGCGUGGGGAGCGAACAGG